rnacentral:misc_RNA from 1 species
GGGUAGAGUACAUGAUAUAAAUUUGUAGUAGCUGAGAAAAAUAAAUAAUUGUACAGUUUUUCCAUUGGACGUACAGUAAUAAAUAAUACCCUAACAACUAAAAAUGCAAAUGGAAUAUAUGUUGCAGACAUUUAACCAACUACCAUUUUCCAGCCGUCCACAAAGAAGAAGAAAACCGAUGAUCACAUUGAAUUAUCCAUGCGUCUGAGAGCUCACACACGUUUAAUUUCUAAUGAAGUUUAAUUAACAAAGUCUCGUACUUGCUCAAUUUAACAACACCCCUAAUAUCUUGUUUUAUUAUUGUUUUUUAAUUAUCUUAUAAUUCUAAGCAAAAUGGUUUGCACAGCAUUCGUAACAGUGUCCACAAGCCUUUUCAAUUCAACACUGUUUUAACCCUUGUACAUUAUUUAUUGUGUUACACCCGUACAGCAAAAAACCCUGAAAAAAAGAGAGAGAAAUCUUGCAAUAAACAGCAAAGGCGAUAAUGUCAAGCUUAGUCAAGUGCAAUUUCAUUCUUAAUCAAAGUGAUAAAUACUUAAUUCUGCUUGCUUUCAUGGUAUCAGACAUCCUCUCAAUCUGGUUGUUCAAGCCUCAAAUCCUACCUCCCAAACACAUCAUUUUUUUCUCUAUGAUCUUAAUUUUUCUAAUUAUCUUGUGGCAAACUCGGUUUCUUAUUGCAUCUCCUCUAACAAAGGCAAUGCUGGUGAAUAUCCGUUGUUGAAUAACAUUGCUCUUGUGCGUUGUGCGGUGCUUGAGUUUGAGGCUUGAGUUCCUGGGGUACUAUCUUGCUGAGUUAAGCUUGUUGGAUUAUAAUUGUGUGAAAUUUUUGCCUUC